rnacentral:rRNA from 1 species
UUACUAGAGCAAAGGAUAGACAGCGCCCGCGGAGCUCGCUCCCGGGGCCACCCUACUCCGGUAGGGUUUAGAGUCGUCGGGCCUCUCGGAGAAGCUCGGUCCUGAACUCCACCCUUGAAUAAACUACCUUUGUUGCUUUGGCGGGCCGCCUCGUGCCAGCGGCUUCGGCUGUUGAGUGCCCGCCAGAGGACCACAACUCUUGUUUUUAGUGAUGUCUGAGUACUAUAUAAUAGUUAAAACUUUCAACAACGGAUCUCUUGGUUCUGGCAUCGAUGAAGAACGCAGCGAAAUGCGAUAAGUAAUGUGAAUUGCAGAAUUCAGUGAAUCAUCGAAUCUUUGAACGCACAUUGCGCCCUCUGGUAUUCCGGGGGGCAUGCCUGUUCGAGCGUCAUUAUAACCACUCAAGCUCUCGCUUGGUAUUGGGGUUCGCGGUUUCGCGGCUCCUAAAAUCAGUGGCGGUGCCUAUCGGCUCUACGCGUAGUAAUACUCCUCGCGAUUGAGUCCGGUAGGUCUACUUGCCAGCAACCCCUAAUUUUUUAAGGUUGACCUCGGAUCAGGUAGGGAUACCCGCUGAACUUAAGCAUAUCAAUAAGCGGAGGAAAAGAAACCAACAGGGAUUACCUCAGUAACGGCGAGUGAAGCGGUAACAGCUCAAAUUUGAAAGCUGGCUCUUUUAGGGUCCGCGUUGUAAUUUGUAGAAGAUGCUUCGGGUGUGGGCCCCGG